GGGGAAUYUUCCGCAAUGGGCGCAAGCCUGACGGAGCAAUACCGCGUGAGGGAGGAAGGCCUUUGGGUCGUAAACCUCUUUUAUUGGGGAAGAAGCACUGACGGUACCCAAUGAAUCAGCAUCGGCUAACUCCGUGCCAGCAGCCGCGGUAAUACGGAGGAUGCAAGCGUUAUCCGGAAUUAUUGGGCGUAAAGCGUCCGCAGGUGGUUAAUCAAGUCUGCUGUUAAAGCGUGCGGCUUAACCGCAUAUCGGCAGUGGAAACUGGUUGACUAGAGUUCGGUAGGGGUCACGGGAAUUCCCAGUGUAGCGGUGAAAUGCGUAGAUAUUGGGAAGAACACCAGCGGCGAAAGCGCGUGACUGGGCCUGAACUGACACUGAGGGACGAAAGCUAGGGGAGCGAAAGGGAUUAGAUACCCCUGUAGUCCUAGCUGUAAACGAUGACAACUAGGUGUUGCCCGUAUCGACCCGGGCAGUGCCGGAGCUAACGCGUUAAGUUGUCCGCCUGGGGAGUACGCACGCAAGUGUGAAACUCAAAGGAAUUGACGGGGGCCCGCACAAGCGGUGGAGUAUGUGGUUUAAUUCGAUGCAACGCGAAGAACCUUACCAGGGCUUGACAUGUCGCGAACUCUUGCGAAAGUGAGAGGUGCCUUCGGGAGCGCGAACACAGGUGGUGCAUGGCUGUCGUCAGCUCGUGUCGUGAGAUGUUGGGUUAAGUCCCGCAACGAGCGCAACCCUCGUCGUUAGUUGCCAGCAUUAAGUUGGGCACUCUAGCGAGACUGCCGGUGACAAACCGGAGGAAGGUGGGGAUGACGUCAAGUCAGCAUGCCCCUUACGUCCUGGGCUACACACGUACUACAAUGCUGUGGACAAAGAGUCGCCAGCCCGCGAGGGUGAGCUAAUCUCAUAAACCACGGCUCAGUUCAGAUUGCAGGCUGCAACUCGCCUNCNUGAAG
rnacentral:rRNA from 1 species